GACGAACGCUGGCGGCGUGCUUAACACAUGCAAGUCGAACGGUGACGAGGAGCUUGCUCCUCUGAUCAGUGGCGAACGGGUGAGUAACACGUGAGCAACCUGCCCCAGACUCUGGGAUAACAGUUGGAAACAGCUGCUAAUACCGGAUACGAGACGGAGAGGCAUCUCUACCGUCUGGUAAAGUUUUUCGGUCUGGGAUGGACUCGCGGCCUAUCAGCUAGUUGGUGAGGUAAUGGCUCACCAAGGCGACGACGGGUAGCCGGCCUGAGAGGGCGACCGGCCACACUGGGACUGGAGACACGGGCCCAGACUCCUACGGGAGGCAGCAGUGGGGAAUAUUGCACAAUGGGCGAAAGCCUGAUGCAGCGACGCCGCGUGAGGGAUGACGGCCUCGGUUGUAACGUCUUCUAGCAGGAAGAAGCGAAGUAGACGGUACCGAACGAAGAAAGACCCGGACCGUAACUACGUACGCCGAGCGACGCCGCCGGUAAGUAGCGUACGUACGAACG
rnacentral:rRNA from 1 species